CAACAACAUUGCCACCUUUGCCUUCAAUUUCAUCAAUGCCUCAAGCAAGUCUUCCUCCAUUACCUACUAACAUUCCAUCUCUUCCUAAACUCAUUAUCCCACCACUUCCUACCUUUCCUACAAAUAUUCCAACUCUCAACGUUCCACCAUUGCCUGCAAUCACUUCACUUCCCAACAUCCCCACCUCAAUCCCAACCACAUUCCCCUCCAUCCCAUUUCUCUCCCCACCACCUUCUUCAACCUCUAGCCCUUAAACACUUCUUUACAAUGUGGACAUUACUGCUUCAUUUCUUUAUCGUGUGUGAUGAAAUAUAAUGCUAGUAAUAUCUUUGCUGUAUUGUAUGGUGUGAAAAAGUCUUUGUAUUUUUUUCUCUUUUUUCUUAUCAAUUGAGCACUAUGUUAUCUAUUUUUGAAUUUAUAUAAUUGAUGUUGAAUACACAUUCAGAUACAAUUAUGAUGACUUCUUCUUUUAGUUAACAUUCGGAUUCUUAUUAUCUUGUCAUUAUUUCAUAACAAGUGAGAAACAAGAGGGUGAUUUAAAUAUUUCAGUUAAGAAAGAGUGAUGUUUAAUGCUAAUCCUAAAGAAAAACGUUAAUAGAUAGAGAUUGUCCUCUACUUCUCAUCUAAGAACUGUGCUAGUUCCUGAUAUUGGCGAAGAGUGAAGUCUAGGGGCUGGUCGAAUGCCUCUCUAUUGUGCCUAAACUGCUCAUAGACGGAGAUGGGGUGUGUUGACGUUGUGGUUGAGCUGCUUGCGUAUAGCUGAGUCAUGAUCGAUAUACAAAUUGGAAAAUUGCAGAGAACGAAUGACAUACUGUAUCAAAUUUACCCCUUACAAAAGAUGAGAAGGGUACUCUAGGUGCUCUGAAUGGAGAGUAUGAGGUUGAGGAGCAAUUGGCUCUCACUAGCAAACCGGCGGAAGUUAAAUUCGCAGUAUAUUUCACAAAUUUUGCUGCAUAAAUCACAUUUUCAACCGAACUAAUCUUCAUUACAAAAUCCUAAGGAUAUACCACAUAUCUGCGGAUUUUCUUAUAUAUAAAACUAAUAUAAUAUUUUUAUUUUAAAAUAAAACAAUUUUUUAGAAAAUAAAUAUAAAUAUUUUCUAAAAAUUAUAAUAAUUUAUUUAUAAAAUUUAUCAACAAUUAUUUUUUAUAAAUUUUUUAGUUUUAAAUUGGCAGAGUCACAUCAAUUUUCUCAAUAUGAAUUGCAAUUAUGAUUAAAUGAUCUUAUCAAACAACUCUACCCUCAUAUAACCGAUCCGACCAACGGUUAAGAUCGAGUUUUAAAACACUACUAAAAACUACUUUCUAUAUUUUGGAAUAUUAAGGAUCUGUUUGUUUCAAUUUAAAAAAAAAUGAAUUUUUCUUUGUAUUUUUAAAAAUAGAUUUUAUAAAACUAUUUUUUAAAAUCUAUAAGUUAUAAUAUAUUUGUUUUUUGAAUGGCAGCCUGAUAAUGAGGAGCAUGUGGCUUGGAUACGUAUUGACUCACAUGCUGUACAGCAAAUGCAAUGUCAGGGCGAGAGUUGGUGAGAUAAAUCAACCUGCCAAUUAACCUUCUAUAUACAGAAGGAUCCUCUAAAACAUUGCCUUCAUCAGCUGAUAAUUUCAAGGUUGGGUUGAAAGGAACUGGAGAAGGUUUUGCUGCCAAGAGACCAGCAUCUUCCAAGAGUUCAAGAGCCUAUUUACUUUCUCCAAACUACCCUCCAUCAAAUCUCUCUUACUCUAUAUAACUAUAUAAGACCAUCAAUCAUCCCUUUGUUCCUCAUCAAAUACCAAAGCAACUUCUCUCAAUACAGAAAGUUAUCAAUGGCAUCAACCAAAUCCUUCGUUACUGCUUUACUUCUUGUUGCAACAAUGUCAAGCACGAUCCUAGAAGCUCGCCAACUUUUGCAAACAACCUCACAACAACCUAAUUUUCCUACCAUUCCCUCUUUACCAACAACAUUACCACCUGUGGCCUCAUUCCAACAUUGGCCUAAAGCAAGUCUCCUCCAUUGCCUACUAACAUUCCAUCUCUUCCUAAACUCACCGUACCACUCUUCCUGCAUUCCUACAAAUAUUCCAACUCUCAACAUUCCAUCACCAUUGCCAACAAUCACUUCACUUCCCAACAUUCCCACCUCAAUCCCGACCACUUUCCCCUCCAUCCCAUUUCUCACCCCACACCUUCUUCAGCCUCUAGCCCUUAAACACUUCUUUAUAAAGCUACAUAAUAAAUCAGCUAAAUAUUUGCAUAUGGACAUAUUGUUCAUUUCUUAUUGUGCGUGAUGAAAUAGUAGGAGGUUAUAAUGAUAGUAGUAUCUUUGUUGUAUAGUAUUGUAUGUUGUGAAAAAGUCUUUGUAUUUUCUCUUUUUUUUUUAUCAGUUUGGCACUAUAUAUGUUUUGUAUUUUUGAAUUUAAUUGAUGUUGGAUUACACAUUUAGAUACAACUAUGAUGACUUCUUUCUUCUUUUAAUUAACGUUCGGAUUCUUAUCAUCUUUUCUUAAUUUCAUAAUAACUGAGAAACGAGUUAGUCACCUUAAUUUCAUAUAGUUGUACACCUCUACUCUAUCAUUAGUACUAGAAUAUAAAAUAAAAUUAAAUCAAAUUAAAACCUACUUGGAGUGAAGGUGGUAUACGCUGAAGUCAAUAUCAUGAAAGAUAGGUUAGAAUUCUUCAACUUCCGACAUGUUGUUGGUCCUCUACUCCCCAUCUAAGAACUGUGCUAAUUCCUGAUAUUGGUGGUGAGUGAAUGCCUCUCUAUUGUGCCGAACUGCUCAUAGAUGGAGGUGGGCUGUGUUGACGUUGUUGUUGAGCUGCCUGCCUGCCUGAUAGCUGAGUCAUGAUCGAUAUAUAAAUUGGAAAAGUGCCGAGAAAGAAUGACAUAUUGUGGUUCAUCUAGCUCAGUGGUUCAUCUAACAAUGACAUCCAUAAGAAAUAGAAAACUACUCUACAUAAUAUUUUAAAAUAGAUAACAAUAUAGUUUGUAAGAAAUUACACUUAAGAAAAAAACAAUUUAUACCUCUCAAAUAAUUUGAGAUGGAAUUUUGGAGAUGACGAAUUUGUCUCUAAAUACCGUCUCCCAAUUUCCAAUAUUUAGUUUCGGUCUCACAUUGUUAUAUUCCAUCUCAAUUUCCGUUUCUGCUUGAAAAUGAAUAAUUUCCAUCUUUAAAUUUCGUUAGUAUUUUAGGUUUUUUUUAGUAGUGUCUAUAAAUGGUGAAUUUAGAAUUGUGUCAGGUUAUCACGAGUGAGAAGCAUUCACGUUGUGUCGAACACUCACCUAAAAGUCAAAGGCUCAUCCAAACAAGUGAGAAAGACAUCAUAUAUUCACCAAAAACCUUAAGGUGAUAGGUGUAUGUGUAUGUGUCUUCUAACUUAUAAAAUGUUCAACCUCCACUUUUUUAAGUAAUGUGGAAGAAUAAACCAACAACCAAAUAAUAACACUAUGUGAAAAUCGUUAUAACACAUUAUAUACCCUCAACCUCCCAUAGUCCCCAGUACACCGACACUCCCCCAAAAUUAAUAUUUAACUACAUCUCAGAAUACUUUAACAUAAGAGCAUGAGAGGAAAGAAAAAGUCAAAUACAAACUUAAAGUGUUUUUUACUGGUGCAUCUUGUAAUGAAGAAAUUGAAUCCGAUAUUAGUCUUUGACUCCCUCUUCCUUCACAAAACUAAGCGAUGUGGAACUUCGAAGAACUUGAAUCCUAUAUAUAGCUUUGUAAUCCCUCUUCCUUCACAAAAUUAAGCGAUGUGGGACUUCUUCAACAUGUAUAUUUUCAACCAACCCCAACAAUCUCCACCUUGAUUGAAAAUAAUACAUUAACUUUCAUUGACUUAACCGACAAUCAUACUCCACCACAAGGUGUAUUGCCACUUGAAGCUACUUAACUCCAAGAAUUUUCACCUUGUCUUCACCGACAAUCCUACUCCCCCACAAUGAGUAUAGUCACUUGAAUCUACAUCAAUCCAAGAAUUUUCAUAUUGUCUUCAACGAAAAUCAUAGUUCAAAAAUUUUCAUACUCCAACAUGAAAAAUGUAUUUUACUUGAAGAUAAAUCACUCCAAGAAUUUUACCUUGUCAACACCAAUAAUCAUAUAUUCUAUCAUGAAAAAUAUAUUUCACUUGAAGCUAAACUACUCCUUGAACUUGACAUGUCGACAACCAGGUUUAAAAUUUAUGGGGUAACUUCCAUGUUUCCAGGAAGCUCUUCAACCACUGAUAUAAUCUCACACCUUAUAUAAUCUUGAUUGUAUCAACACAUCUCUGACUUGGACUUUUCACAUGUCAAAAACAAUUCUUCCAUCAAUUUUCUCUAUCCCAAACUACACAACAGAAUUUGUGACUGCAACUCAACCCCUCUUUCACAACACCGUCAUUAUUUUUUAUGAUGUGGAAGAUCAAACAAAAUUAUACUAAGAACUCUUAUCUCCAGAUCAAACUAAAAUCUCUAAUACUAGUUGUUGGGAAACACAAAACAUGGAGAAAAAAGAUGAACAUAAUAACAACACAAGAGAUUAACGUGGAGACUCCAAAAUAGCAGAAAAAAACCACGGUCGUUGUCAAAUGACAACCAUAGAAUAAUAUUAUGGAAAAAUUGUUACAACACAUAAUAUAUCCUCAACCACCCCACACCAUAGAUGUAUAAGUGUUGUCCCUUCUCUCGCGGGUAGGAGUUUGAGAAAAACUCCAUUGUGGAACUUGAUUGGAAUAUUUGAUUAGACUAUUAAGAUGAUCCCAACCACGUCUACACAACUCUUAAGUGAUUUUGGGAGAAUGAAACUCCUAAAACCCAAGCCUCUUUCAUCAUUAAACUUGUAUUUUAGGAAAUACUUAUAAUGCUUGUAGUACAACAAACUAAUGAACCUGAUUGGUUCAAAUAAUGCACUUUAAGGAUGUUUGGCAUUGAAUGGUGAUUCUCGAGACUGAUAACGUGAAACUAUAUCGUUUAUUUAACUCGAUUCAAAUUCACUUUAGUAUAAUUUUUUGUACAUUUUUAUUGUAUUAUGCUGGUGUUGUUGUCAUGUUUCAAGUACUUGUCAAUGCAGAACUCACGUGUGAGAAAGAGAUAAAGAAAAGAGAAGAAAUGAAGAAAACGACUGAAAUUACAGGUUCUGGGUCUGUGACGUUCUCCACGUCCCCCUGCCACGUCCCUUCAAAGUUUAAGUACCAUGGUGUUCGCCACAAAUCAUUGUUUUUUACAUCAUCUUUUUAAUAUGAUUUAUAGUCAUUUGAGUUGAUUUUUACUCGUAACUCAUUUUUUUUAAGGAUUUAAUAAAGAUUUCUAAGUGUGGAAAAGACCAAUUUAAGCCUAAAUCAUUAUAACCAUUACCAAAUUUAUGGUAUAUUACCGUGUAAGUUUGAUGACAAAGCAAUGAGAGAACUACUACACGAGAAAUGAAAGGAAAAGAAAAGAAAUUAGAAAAAGAAUCAAAGAACAUGUCAUUAAUGAGGAUGUUAGCUAUGAAAAAUUGGAGUGAGACCAAUUAAAUUCUAAAUGAUGUAUAGUUCAGGAUCAAAAAAUGGUUUUUAAAAUGGAGGUUUAAAAGUUAAAAACUAUCAAAGUAAGGAGACCAAAAAUGCAUUUAAACCGUGUUUUUUAGUGCAUUAUUACAACUUAAAAAGAGCUUAAAAAAUAAAGUGUAAUAUGCAUAUCUAGUGUUAAAGUAAAGUUUAUGGUUAAGGCUAGGGGUGUUCGAGGUGAAGUUUGAGCAGUUUUGAAGAUAAAAAUCAUCUGAACCGCAAGAGAAAAAACACGCGGUUUCGUUUGAUUUCGUUGACUUUUAGAAAUAAAACCAAACCAAAACAAUACGGUUUGGGUUGGUUCGGUUGGUUCAGUUUUUUACAAAAAAUUUAUUGUGUCAUUUAUGCACCUAUAGAGAACAACAUAACUUUGUAUUUAGUUAUUCAUAUAUUACCAAAUAACAUCAAAACUCAUCAUAUUUAAACAAUAUUUUCUCAUUCAAUAUACAAAAAAAAGACUAGAAAAAAAAGUGGAAUAAAAAACAUAAAAUAGUAGCAUAAAAUAAUAUCAAAGACAUUAUAAUAAAACAUAAAAAAUAAAUGAGAAGAGAAAUUAGAGAAGAAGAAGAAAAAAGAAUAGAAGAGAUGCGUGAUUAAAGAAGAAAAGUGUGAUAAAAACAUAAUUGGAAGAGAAAACAGUAGCAUAAAAAUGAUAAGAUGAAAAAGAAAGAACAUAAGAGAUGAAAGAUUAGAGUAGAAAAGGCGAGACGUAGAUGACAAAGAAGAUGAGAAGAAUACGCGAUACUACUAUGAGAGAUUGGAGAAGCUUGAAACUGAAAUCCAAAAUGCGAGUAAGAGAAAAUUGUUCGUAAUUGUAAGGUUAAGACAUGAUAGAUUUGAGUUUUGGGUUGGAUGGGAUAAGUGAAGUUUAGGUUGUUGGUUUGGUUUAUUUCAGUUUGCAAAAUACAAGCCACAAACCCAACCGAACCGCAGAGUUUUGUUAAAAAAUGACCCAAAUACAUUUGAACCAAAUGUGGUUUUUUUAGGUUUCGAUUUGGUUUGAUUUGGUUUGCGUUUUUCUAUUGGGUUGAUUCGAUUUUGAACACCCCUAUUUAAGGCAUGACGCAUAUGUAAACUAUUACACUUAAAAAUAUGGGUGACAAAACGGGUCAUGACCUGCCAAACCGGCUCGCGCACUCGCCAAAAAAGACAGGUUGAGUUGGAACUAUAAUUUGGUUGAUAUACUUGAACUAUAAAUUUGAUAUCCUUGUUGAUGAAUCUAUUUUAUAUAUUUAUUUAUAAACAUACGGAAUAUUUUUUUUAAUUAAAUUUUAAAAUAAUAAAAUUUUAUUGUGAUAAUAAAUCUAUUACUAGCAUAUCCUAUAACGUAGGGCAAAACAUAGUGAUCUUAUUUGCCCUUUAUAUAUGUCUUUCCAAAAACAAACUUAUAGAUCUUCUACCUAAAAUGUGGAACAAUAAAAACUUUUAAAAAUAGUUUUUAAAUUGAAGAUGAUAGAUAUUUGUUCACUAGUUUAAUGGAGAGUCUUUGUAUUUAAUUUAAUUUACUAUUUUUUUUUAAUUAUUAAUUUAUAUUCAGACCUUCAGUAAACUAAUCAAAUAUUUUUUAGAAUAAUCUAUACUUAGAAAUGAAUGCUUGUACAUUAUUUAUUUAGAUUUUAGCAUAUAUUAUUCAGAUUUUACAAAAUGGUUUCUCUUGGGAAAAAAUUGAUCAUAGGACAUUAUGCCGUUAUUUUAUGCAUAUACUAUUGAACGAAACUAUAUUUAUUUAUCCCAGCCUAAAUUAUCGUUUGAGCAUGUUGAAAUGAUUUAUAGGUGCCUUGAAAAUACCAACAACAAUCAACAUAUUUUAGUUGUUUAAAUAUUGACGGUAUAGUCAUGGGAUAAUUGAGAAGUCAAGUCUAACCACAAAAUGAAACAUUGGAAGUUCAACUAACUAAAUACUCCCCUCCAUCAAAUCUCUCUAACUCUAUAUAACACCAUCAAUCAUCCCUUUGUUCCUCAUCAAAUACCAAAGCAAUUUCUCUCAAUACAGAAAGUUAUCAAUGGCAUCAACCAAAUCAAUCAUCACUGCUUUACUUCUUGUUGUAACAAUGUCAAGCAUGAUCCUGGAAGCUCGCCAACUUUUACAGACAACCACACAACCAAAUUUUCCCGGCAUUCCAACUUUACCAAAGCCAACAGCAUUGCCACCUUUGCCUUCAAUUUCAACAUUACCUCAAACAAGUCUUCCUCCAUUACCUACUACAAUUCCAUCUCUUCCUAAACUCACUAUGCCACCACUUCCUACCUUUCCUACAAAUAUUCCAACUCUCAACAUUCCACCAUUGCCAGCAAUCACUUUACUUCCCAACAUUCCCACCUCAAUCCCGACCACUUUCCCCUCCAUCCCAUUUCUCACCCCACCACCUUCUUCAACCUCUAGCCCUUAAUCACUUUUUUACAAGUUGCAUAAUGUAAUUAGCUAAAUGUUUGCAAUAUGGACAUUAUUGCUUCAUUUCUUUAUUGUGCGUGAUGAAAUAGUAGGAGGUUAUAAUUAUAGUAAUAUCUUUGUUGUAUUGUAUUGUAUGGUGUGAAAAAAUCUUUGUAUUUUCUCUUUUUUCUUUUUUACCAGUUUAGCACUAUAUAUGUUUGUAUUUUUGAAUUUAAUUGAUGUUGGACCACACAUUUAGAUACAACUAUGAUGACUUCUUUCUUAUAUCUAUUAUCGUUCAGAUUCUAAUUAACUUUUCAUAAUUUCGUAAUAAGUGAUAAAAGUAUUUUAGUUAAGAAAGAGUGAUGUUUAAUGU
rnacentral:lncRNA from 1 species